rnacentral:rRNA from 1 species
UACGGGGGGAGCAAGCGUUGUUCGGAUUUACUGGGCGUAAAGGGCGCGUAGGCGGCCACCUCAGGUCGACUGUGAAAUCUCCGGGCUUAACCCGGAAAGGUCAGCCGAUACUGCGGGGCUAGAGUGCAGAAGGGGCAACUGGAAUUCUCGGUGUAGCGGUGAAAUGCGUAGAUAUCGAGAGGAACACCUGCGGCGAAGGCGGGUUGCUGGGCUGACACUGACGCUGAUGCGCGAAAGCUAGGGGAGCGAACGGG